ACACUCAUGUUUCACCUCAUAUCGCAUAAAUCUUUCGCCUUUUACUAAAGAUUUCCGUGGGGAGGAACACAAUGAGUAUCCAUUAAUUUUUCGUCGUCCCACCACUGAGUGGGGCU